rnacentral:tRNA from 6 species
UAAGAGGAAAAUCCGUCGACUUUAAAAAUCGUGAGGGUUCAAGUCCCUC